rnacentral:rRNA from 1 species
GACGAACGCUGGCGGCGUGCUUAACACAUGCAAGUCGAACGGAAAGGCCCUGCUUGCAGGGUACUCGAGUGGCGAACGGGUGAGUAACACGUGGGUGAUCUGCCCUGCACUUCGGGAUAAGCCUGGGAAACUGGGUCUAAUACCGGAUAGGAGCCAUUUUUAGUGUGAUGGUUGGAAAGUUUUUUCGGUGUAGGAUGAGCUCGCGGCCUAUCAGCUUGUUGGUGGGGUAAUGGCCUACCAAGGCGGCGACGGGUAGCCGGCCUGAGAGGGUGGACGGCCACAUUGGGAUGGGGAUACGCCCCGACCCCUUCCGGGAGGCAGCAUGGGGAAUAUUGCACAAUGGGCGCAAGCCUGAUGCAGCGACGCCGCGUGGGGGAUGACGGCCUUCGGGUUGUAAACUCCUUUCGCUAGGGACGAAGCUUUUUGUGACGGUACCUAGAUAAGAAGCACCGGCUAACUACGUG